rfam:Astyanax mexicanus Tnplaced_Scaffold_312, whole genome shotgun sequence.
GUGGGCUACGGCGACAUGUACCCCGAGACCGUUUGGGGGAAGAUGGUGGGCUCCAUGUGCGCCAUCGCCGGAGUGCUGACUAUUUCCCUCCCCGUCCCUGUGAUUGUGUCCAAC